GUGAAAUUAGAAAAUAAUACAGAAAAAUGAGAAAAACCAUUGCAUCUAGUUUUCAAUACUUACACCAAAGUAUUUAGAUUCGUAGCAUGAAUUUAAUCUGAAGUAGAAGUUUCUCUCUCGUAUUUGGACAGAUCAUGCAUCUUAACAUUUUAUUGCUUAUUGUUGCCCUAUGCGGUAUUACUUCAGGUCUCCAGUGCUAUUUUUGCAUUAGCACGACUGCAAAUGACGCCUGCCACGCUGCAGGUAGAAACCACUCUACCAGUUCAUGCAUAGCAGGAGAAGAUAACUGUGUUUCGUUUUACUUUCAAAGCGGUGAUGCAACAACUGCCUACAGAGGAUGCUGGAGAGGCAAUCCUUGCGACCACUCUUCAUAUAAGUCGUGCGAUUAUUGUACUUGUGAUCAUUGUAACAGAGAUGCCAUAGUAAUUUCUUAGAUUAGAAUGAUGUAUAAUUCUAAUGACUGAUCCUUUAAUUACCUAGAUAGUACCUAUAACUAUUGCAAUUGUGAAUAUUGGUUUUAUUUUACUUACUUAUUUAUCCCAAUAAAUAGUUUUUAUUUAU